rnacentral:tRNA from 1 species
CGCCGUGCCGGCGGGUUCCAGCAGCCGGCCCACUUUGGUGGAGAGGGUGUACGCGUCGCGCGGGAGCGCGCGCAGGGCCGCGCCGAGGCGCC